rnacentral:misc_RNA from 1 species
GAUGAAGAACGUAGCGAAAUGCGAUAAGUAAUGUGAAUUGCAGAAUUCAGUGAAUCAUCGAAUCUUUGAACGCACAUUGCGCCCGCCAGUAUUCUGGCGGGCAUGCCUGUUCGAGCGUCAUUUCAACCAUCAAGCCCCAGGCUUGUGUUGGGGACCUGCGGCUGCCGCAGGCCCUGAAAACCAGUGGCGGGCUCGCUGUCACACCGGGCGUAGUAGAUUUUAUCUCGCUCAGGGCGUGCUGCGGGUUCCGGCCGUUAAAAAGCCUUUUUUACCCAAGGUUGACCUCGGAUCAGGUAGGAGGACCCGCUGAACUUAAGCAUAUCAAUAAGCGGAGGA